GUGCAGUCUGCCUUCCUCGCUCGAUUUUGCUUCUUGACCUCGUGGCUUUGGCGAUUUUUGGCGUUUAAUUUACUCAUUUUUCAACGCUUUUCAAGAUUAGGAGGUGGAAGUCGUACUUGCCAUGAGUUAUUAAACAGUUUGGAAAAGGACAUUUUUCCAUGGAAUGCCCACAAGGAGGAGGUGGGAGUCGAGCAUUUUAGUGUUCAUUUCCAACCAAGAAGUGGUCCAUGUAGCAAGGGAUUUUCCACAAGGAGGGGUCAUUGGUGGCAGCAAGUGUUACAAUUGUCAUGAAGUUGGCCACACCUCAAAAGGCUGUACGAAUCUAUUCGUGAAUUGACGAAAAACAGAAAGUCGCGUGAACAAUACAUUCCGGAAGCUGUGACAAGCGAUGAAAAGGAACUGUUUAAGUGGGAUCGUCUGUGGGGAACGCUUUAACAAUUUUGAUAAAGUCGUUCUCCAUCGAAUCCAGGUUACAGGAAAAGAUGUACCUCAAUACAUAAAAUCACUCGAAAAAGGCGGCCUGCGCCCACUACUACUUCAAAACAUUAAGAAUUCUGGCUACAUAAAACCAACACCUGUACAGAAAGCUUCAGUUGCAGUUAGUCCUUGUUCUUGCCAAAAGAUAUUUGAUUGCUUGUGCUGUCACGGGCUCCGGCAAAACGGCGGCGUACUUGGUACCGGUUAUGAACAUAUUGUUAGAACAAGGUGUUGCUGGUGCGUCGCCGCCAUGGUCCAAAAGCCAGAAGUUGUAAUUGUCGCACUUACUCGUGAAUUUUCGAUUCGAAUUCACCGCGGGUCGUGUAAAUUCUCCUACAAUUCGGUUUUAAAAUCUGUCAUUAUAUAUGAAGGUACUGUCGCGAGCCAUCAGCGGUCAAAUCUUCAAGCUGGGUGCAAUACUCUUGUCGCGACCGCGGGGCGACUCGAGGAUUUUCUCAACCGUGGAGUAUUUUACUUCUCGACGGCCAGGUUUUUAAUUUUGGACGAAGCUGAUCGAAUGCUUUAUGGUUUUCGGUCCCGAUAUUGAAAAACUUGUCAGCCAUCCAACGAUGCCUACGAAAGGAAUCCGUCGUGUUUGUAUGUUUACGGUUUCACUGGCGCCCAAGUCGGAAAAUUGCCUUGUCUGGAAAUUUCGCAAAGUGUGACGGCGUUUGGCAGAACUAUGAUUGAGAAAACAAGAGAGGAUGUGGAGUCUAAAUUUUGCGUCGAGAAUGGCUAUGCCCAUGACGCCAAAGUAAUCUAUGGUAACACAGAUUCCGUAAUGGUGAAAUUCGGUGUACCCACGGUGGCCGAAGCCAUGGAAUUAGGCCGAGAAGCUGCCGCAUUUGUGUCGGCAAAAUUUGUCAAACCCAUUAAUUUCGAAUUGGCAAAAGUCUAUUACCCCUAUUGAUCAACAAAAAGAGGUAUGCAGGAUUGUAUUGGACCAAACCUGAAAAUUUUGACAAAAUGGAUUGUAAAGAUACAGAAACCGUUCGUCGUGAUAAUUGCCAAUUCGUUGCCAAUCUUAUCAAUAGCUGUCUGCAGAAAAUUUUGAUGGAGCGAGACCAGGAUGGAGCCUUAGAAUACGCCAAACAAACAACUUCCGACUUGCUGUGCAACAAAGUCGAUAUCUCACUUCUGGUGAUUACCAAGGAGCUGAAUAAAACAGAUACAGACUACGCCAGCAAACAGGCACCUGUGGAACUAGCUCACAAGAUGCGUAAGCGAGAUGCUGGUACAACCCCAAAAUUAGGGGAUCGAGUUCCGUAUAUCAUUAUCGCAGCUGCUAAAAACGAACCUCAAGGCGGAAGACCCGAUUUUUGUCCUGGAACACAGCGUACCUAUUGAUGCCCAAUACUAUCUGGAAAAUCAGCUUUCAAAACCCUUUGUUUGGAUUUUUGAACCCAUACUUGGAUCUAAAGCGGAAUCAUUGUUGCUACAUAAACACGGACUCAUCGCACUUAUUUGCUUGACAUAAUUGAACCGUUUGUAUUCCGUAUUGUAGAUGGUUACCAUACCCGGACGCCUUCAGUUGUUACUUCAAAAAUUGGUGGAUUGGCUAGCUUUACCACAUGCAAAUCCACCUGUGUUGGAUGCAAAACCGUUCUUCCAGACGAUAGUGCUGUAUGCAAAUUUUGCAAGCCGAAAGAAUCGGAGUUCUACCAGAGGGAAACUGGCCAACUUUAUGCUCUCGGAAUAGAAGUUUAAUCGUUUAUGGACAGAAUGUCAACGGUGCCAUGGAAAUCUCAACGAAGAGAUUCUUUGUUCCAACCGAGAUUGCCCCAUCUUUUACAUGAGGACAAAAGUUAGAAAAGAUCUCACGGAACAGGAUAAACUUAUGAAAAGAUUCGGCCUACCCUGACAACCUACCGCUCUCGUCAAUGAUGGUGCAUACAGUCUCGUAGGGGGCUAGUCGCUAGGUGGCCCAGGUGCUGUGCUGAGCUAAGCUGCUGAUGGCAACAUGUAACAUGGCGUCGUAGCGGCUGGUUAUAUCACGGCAGCCGAACGUGGCAGACCUUCCUUUUUGUAGGUGAAAUUCAAGGGAGGAACUGCAAAUGCUCGCCGCCAUCUUGUACGAACAAUGUGGUCUGGCGAAUACGUUGCCAAGGUGACCAUGCAUUACCUUCGAGUGUAUUUAAGUUGCAAGUCGGUAGAUUUGUUCCUCAGUUUCCCGGAUACCAGCAUCCUGCUUCGCGAGAACUACUCUACGUUGUUCUGGGGGGCUUAGACGAACAUCUGAAUCCGAUUUUGAAGAAGUCUUGCAUCGAUGGACACUGACAAAAUAUAGGAAGCUGCACAUGAAUAUUGGGUAUUUUAUCGCAGAUUCGUAAUUAUAAAGAAUUGGGAAAAGAAAAUUGACGGAGGCUCAGUACCAAAAAAAUUAUGGUAGUUGGAAUGAUUACCGAAGCUCUUCGGAUUCGUUUAUUUCACGCGUUAUGGUAUUUAAAGAAAAUAAACGGGUACCUGGGCCCCUUUGUAUCUGUGACCCGAUUUCCUCUUCACUUGUGAUAAUUCUGCAGCGGGUCAUGCAGGUAUUGUGAUCAACAGAGAAGGUUAGAAGUGCGCUGCCCGGAAAGCAAAUUUGGGGUAAAAGAAAAAAACUUAUUCCAACUAGUAAGCCAUUUCCAAAUUCAACCAACAAAAAGGUACACAGUGAGAUUUGCUUAACAAUUUGUUUCUUUAAUUGAUUUUAAAAUUAGGAAAAGGUGGAAGGAAAAACUUUGUUCUCUAGUAGUUUUUUAGUUAAAAUCCUUUUUGUGCAAAUUCAUUUUUGAAAUUGUUUACUUCAUUGUCGAAUGGCUCCGUUCACAUUUGUUGUUCAUGUGAGAUGUUAUAUUUACCAGUUACUGCAUUAUAUUUACCACUUUUGCAAGAUGUUUGUACAGGAAUUACUACUGUUUUGUUUAUCUGGAAUGUUGUGUGGGAGUCCAUCAGGAAUUGCUGGUCUGCAGUAAAUUUGUCAGGCUAGGUGAUGAAUAUCAAUGAAUCAGAAAAUGUUUUGCAUGGGUAGUGAAUGUUCUGACAGUAUUAACAGUUGUGAUGUGGUGUAUUUCACUUCCACGCAUCAUAGUCUUAUCUAUCAGUUGAAUUGUGUGGUCAAUUUUCUGUUCGUGUAACCUCAUUUCCUCUUGACUCAUCUGGUAGAAGUUGGUGACCUGAUACAAUGAACAUGGAAAAAUCACCUGCGCCCACGUUGACGACGAUACCUGUACCGAAGUGCAGGAAACUAAAAUUAAAUUUUCUUUACAAUUUGGUUUCAGGCUACCUUUAUAAUUUUUUAAUAGUUUUGCGUUUAUUGACGAGUCCGCAAGCUCUUAGCUGAUUUCCUCCUUUAGAUACCGCCUGUCGACGAUUUGACAGCCUCACACAAUUAAAGAACGUAUGCCAAAAAGCCAAAGUGAGCUCUUCCGAGCAGAAAAGUGACGGCGUAUCCAUUUAAUUGACAAUAGGCACAAGAUAACGCACAAUUAGCGUCCUUGUCUCAAUGGAGAAAUUUUGCCGUGGAACUUGUAAUCGAAAUACCAUUGCAGCUGUUAAAAAUAAGAAAAGUGUAUUAGCAUACAGAUGUUGACUAGCUAACAAUCCAGAGAUACGUCAACUUGCGAAAUUUCUAGAUGUGUGUGAAGCGCAAUCAG